AGCGAACGCUGGCGGCAGGCUUAACACAUGCAAGUCGAGCGGGCACUUUCGGGUGUCAGCGGCGGACGGGUGGGUAACGCGUGGGAACGUGCCCUCUGGUUCGGAAUAACUCAGGGAAACUUGAGCUAAUACCGGAUACGCCCUCUUGGGGGAAGGCUUGCUGCCGGGGGAUCGGCCCGCGUCUGAUUAGCUAGUUGGUGAGGUAACGGCUCACCAAGGCGACGAUCAGUAGCUGGUCUGAGGGGAUGACCAGCCACACUGGGACUGAGACACGGCCCAGACUCCGACGGGAGGGAGCAGUGGGGAAUAUUGGACAAGGGGCGCAAGCCUGAUCAAGCCAUGCCGCGUGAGUGAUGAAGGCCUUAGGGUUGUAAAGCUCUUUUAUCCGGGACGAUAAUGACGGUACCGGAGGAAUAAGCCCCGGCUAACUUCGUG
rnacentral:rRNA from 1 species